rnacentral:rRNA from 1 species
GACGAACGCUGGCGGCGUGCCUAAUACAUGCAAGUCGAGCGGACGAAUCGAAAGCUUGCUUUUGAUUCGUUAGCGGCGGACGGGUGAGUAACACGUGGGCAACCUGCCCUGUAGACGGGGAUAACACCGAGAAGUCGGUGCUAAUACCGGAUAACACGAAAUGUCGCAUGACGUUUCGUUGAAAGACGGCGCAAGCUGUCGCUACAGGAUGGGCCCGCGGCGCAUUAGCUAGUUGGUGAGGUAACGGCUCACCAAGGCGACGAUGCGUAGCCGACCUGAGAGGGUGAUCGGCCACACUGGGACUGAGACACGGCCCAGACUCCUACGGGAGGCAGCAGUAGGGAAUCUUCCGCAAUGGACGAAAGUCUGACGGAGCAACGCCGCGUGAGCGAAGAAGGCCUUCGGGUCGUAAAGCUCUGUUGUUAGGGAAGAACAAGUAACGCAGUAACUGGCGUUACCGUGACGGUACCUAACGAGAAAGCCACGGCUAACUACGUG